UACGAAGGGGGCUAGCGUUGCUCGGAAUCACUGGGCGUAAAGGGUGCGUAGGCGGGUCUUUAAGUCAGGGGUGAAAUCCUGGAGCUCAACUCCAGAACUGCCUUUGAUACUGAGGAUCUUGAGUUCGGGAGAGGUGAGUGGAACUGCGAGUGUAGAGGUGAAAAUUCGUAGAUAUUCGCAAGAACACCAGUGGCGAAGGCGGCUCACUGGUCCGAUACUGACGCUGAGGCACGAAAGCGUGGGGAGCAAACAGG
rnacentral:rRNA from 1 species